AUGGAUGUUCGCUGCAAGAACCUAGUGAACCCUAUAUGCGACUGGCUCGGUGAGAUUUAUGAUCCUGCCUCCAGAGAAUUCGUGAUUCCGGGAUGGGGAAGACUGCCUUUGGAUGAGGAAUCUGUGUUCUGCACUUUGGGUGUGCCCCGUGGAGAAAUCAAAGUCUCGUACGAGGUGAAUAAUAAGAUUGAGGAAGCCUUGUUCCCCCGUUUGUUUCCUGGGGUGUCAACCAUGCCGAAUACGACUGUGCUGGCAACUUCGCUGGAGGGCAUGAAAACCCAUGGCGAACUCAUGUACGUCGAUGCUCUUGAUCUGUCCACCGUUGACUUUACUGGGAUAGGAGGCCUGCCGCCUGCACAUAAGUUUGUUGUCUCUAUGUGGACGGACGGUGUUGUCAAGGCUGUGCUUGCCGCAGACAGGAUAACCGAUACGAAAUAUGGGAAACUGCAGCUGAUGGCCAAGAAUGCUAUAGACUACAGUGUGUUUGGUGGGCCAUAA
rnacentral:rRNA from 1 species